GCUGGGCAUGGUGGUGCGUCUAUAGUCAGCUGCUCAGGAGGCAGGAGGAUCACUUGAGUCCAGGAGUUCUGGGCUGCAGUACGCUCUGCCAAUCAGGUGUCCACACUGUUUAAGCAUCAAUAUGUGACCUUCCAGGAGCAGGGGACCACUGGGUUGCCUAAGGAGGAUAAAACUAGCCCAGGUUGGAAAAAGAGCAGAUCAAAACUCCUGUUCUGAUCAGUGGUGCACGCAUCUGUGAAUAGCCACUGCACUCCAGCCUGGGCAACAUAGCGAGACCCCAU
rnacentral:SRP_RNA from 1 species